rnacentral:rRNA from 1 species
CCCGAUGGGCGAAGGGCAAGAUCUUCUUGGGCCGGUAACCUGACGGCUGAGGGAGCGAAAAGCGUGGGGGAGCAAACAGGGAUUAGAUACCCUUGGUAGUCCACGCCGUAAACGUUGGGAACUAGAUGUGGGGGCCAUUCCACGGCUUCCGUGUCGCAGCUAACGCAUUAAGUUCCCCGCCUGGGGAGUACGGCCGCAAGGCUAAAACUCAAAGGAAUUGACGGGGGCCCGCACAAGCGGCGGAGCAUGCGGAUUAAUUCGAUGCAACGCGAAGAACCUUACCAAGGCUUGACAUAUACCGGAAACGGCUGGAAACAGUCGCCCCGCAAGGUCGGUAUACAGGUGGUGCAUGGUUGUCGUCAGCUCGUGUCGUGAGAUGUUGGGUUAAGUCCCGCAACGAGCGCAACCCUCGUUCUAUGUUGCCAGCACGUAAUGGUGGGAACUCAUAGGAGACUGCCGGGGUCAACUCGGAGGAAGGUGGGGAUGACGUCAAAUCAUCAUGCCCCUUAUGUCUUGGGCUUCACGCAUGCUACAAUGGCCGGUACAAAGGGCUGCAAUACCGUAAGGUGGAGCGAAUCCCAAAAAGCCGGUCUCAGUUCGGAUUGAGGUCUGCAACUCGACCUCAUGAAGUCGGAGUCGCUAGUAAUCGCAGAUCAGCAACGCUGCGGUGAAUACGUUCCCGGGCCUUGUACACACCGCCCGUCAAGUCAUGAAAGUCGGUAACACCCGAAGCCGGUGGCCUAA